GAACGCUCGUAGCAAUACGGGGGUGGCAGACGGGUGAGUAACGCGUGGGAACAUACCCUCCGGUUCGGAAUAGCUCAGGGAAACUUGGAUUAAUACCGGAUACGGCCGAGAGGCGAAAGAUUUAUCGCCGGAGGAUUGGCCCGCGUUCGAUUAGCUAGUUGGUGAGGUAACGGCUCACCAAGGCGAUGAUCGAUAGCUGGUCUGAGAGGAUGAUCAGCCACAUUGGGACUGAGACACGGCCCAAACUCCUACGGGAGGCAGCAGUGGGGAAUAUUGGACAAUGGGCGCAAGCCUGAUCCAGCCAUGCCGCGUGAGUGAUGAAGGCCUUAGGGUUGUAACGCUCUUUCGCUCGGGACGAUAAUGACGGUACCGAGAUAAGAAGCCCCGGCUAACUUCGUG
rnacentral:rRNA from 1 species